rnacentral:rRNA from 1 species
GUGAGUCAUCGAAUCUUUGAACGCACCUUGCACCCUUUGGUAUUCCGAAGGGUACACCCGUUUGAGUGUCAUUGUAAUCUCACUUCAACCACUUUUGUGAUGUUGAAUGUGGACUUGGAUGUUGCCGUGUCCAACGGCUCAUCUGAAAUGUUUGAGUGUACCCUGCUUUGCAGUCGUAUCAGUGUGAUAAACAUCUUCACUGUCAAGUCUCUAGGGACACGCUAGUGUUGCAGGCUCUAUGCUUCCAACCGUCUUAGGACAAUCUCUGACAAUUUGACCUCAAAUCGGGUGGGACUACCCGCUGAACUUAAGCAUAUCAAUAAGGCGAGG